UAAAACCAGCACCUCGAGUGGUCAGGAGGUUUAUUGGGCCUAAAGCAUCCGUAGCCGGUUGCAUAAGUUUUCGGUUAAAUCUAUGCGCUUAACGUAUAGGCCGCCGAAAAUACUGUGCAGCUAGGGAGUGGGAGAGGUACACGGUACUCGAUAGGAAGGGGUAAAAUCCUUUGAUCUAUUGAUGACCACCUGUGGCGAAGGCGGUGUACCAGAACACGUUCGACGGUGAGGGAUGAAAGCUGGGGGAGCAAACCGGAUUAGAUACCCGGGUAGUCCCAGCUGUAAACGAUGCAGACUCGGUGAUGCAUUGGCUUGUGGCCAAUGCAGUGCCGCAGGGAAGCCGUUAAGUCUGCCGCCUGGGAAGUACGUACGCAAGUAUGAAACUUAAAGGAAUUGACGG
rnacentral:rRNA from 1 species